rnacentral:rRNA from 1 species
UCGGGCCUCUUGCCAUCGGAUGUGCCCAGAUGGGAUUAGCUAGUAGGUGGGGUAACGGCUCACCUAGGCGACGAUCCCUAGCUGGUCUGAGAGGAUGACCAGCCACACUGGAACUGAGACACGGUCCAGACUCCUACGGGAGGCAGCAGUGGGGAAUAUUGCACAAUGGGCGCAAGCCUGAUGCAGCCAUGCCGCGUGUAUGAAGAAGGCCUUCGGGUUGUAAAGUACUUUCAGCGGGGAGGAAGGGAGUAAAGUUAAUACCUUUGCUCAUUGACGUUACCCGCAGAAGAAGCACCGGCUAACUCCGUGCCAGCAGCCGCGGUAAUACGGAGGGUGCAAGCGUUAAUCGGAAUUACUGGGCGUAAAGCGCACGCAGGCGGUUUGUUAAGUCAGAUGUGAAAUCCCCGGGCUCAACCUGGG